ensembl:lncRNA
CACCAUACCUGGGUAAUUUUUUAAAAAUUUUUUGUAGAGAAGGGGUCCUGCUAUGUUGCCCAGACUGGUCUUGAACUCUUGGCCUCAAGUGACCCUCCCACCUCAGCUUCCCAGAGCACUCAGUUUACAGAAAUGAGCCACCACUCCUGGCUGAAAGGCAUUUUUAACUACAGCAUUAAAAUACAUAACACAAAAUUAAGGUAGUAAAAAUAAAUGGUUUUAAUGUAUAGAGAUAUUUAUCGCAAUAUUUCUAUAAGGGCUAUAUUCCUUUAAAUCUAAAUUUUAUAUUAAUCAUUUAUAAUUACUCAUUAACCUUUUAUAGGGGAAAAAUUAAGUGAGUAGAUUUUAUGGGAAUGUAGCUCUGUUUCACAUUAGGGAAUUGUCUUAGACAACAUUUCACCAAGUUAUUAAAAGGACUUCUGUGAGCAGAGCAUUUCGUGGUAAGACAUGCUUGAGAAACUCUGGGUUAUACAAGGUAAACCAGUCUCUCUUCUGCAGGAAUUUCACUUUGCUGGACAUGGAGAUUGCCGAUGGGGUCUAAGAGUGCCCUGCUUCUGCCAAGCUUGUUUAAAUAGCACUAUUCCAAGGACAUUCCAUGGAACCUGGAAACAAAGCUAUUUGCUGAGAGUGAGAAUGUUAAAGAUUUGAAGCCUUGAAGAGGUUGAAACACUACUUGAGAGAAUGAGAAAGAGGGGAUCAAGGAUAAGUAAAUAUGAGGAAAGUCCCCUCAUUCCAAUAUGUUCACAACUAAAUUGCACUUGCCCCAAAACAAAGCCAAGGGAAAAAAUGUAGAAAAUGGUUACAUAAUCAGCUUACAAUUCUAACUACAACUAUCAAUCGGUAUUCUUCCCAGGGUAGACUCUUGGGGAAAGAGCAAGGGCCUAGAAACCUGGAUUUACAUCCCAGAAAUGCCAGUAAUGAAUGCAUUGGGUGAGCGGAUGAAGAUAAUUGCAUGUGGUUGGAAGCUGCUGGUGGGGCCCUCAUGACCCCUCCCUCCUGGUAUCCACUCCUUUGUGUAACUCCCUCCUCUUGUGUAUGAACUGAACUUAAUGACUCACUUCUAAAGAAUAGAGUACAGCAAGAGUAAUGGGAUGUCACUUCUGGUAUUAGGUUACAAAAAACUGACUUCUGUCUUAUCCAUGCUCUCACUCUCUCCAUGUUUGCUCUGAUGAGGCAAGUUGAAGAGGUACACAUGGUGGGGAACUGAGGGUGACCUCCACCUGACUGCCAGCAAGAAACUGAAGCCCUCAAUUCAACACCCAUCCAGGAACUGGCCUGGGUCCACAACUACAUAAGUGAGACUGAAAGAAGAUCCAUCCCAGUUGAGCUUUCAGAUGAGAAUGCAGCCCUGGUCAGCACUUCUGUUGCCUCCUUAUGAGAGAUCCCAAAGUUGUGCCUGAAUUCUGACCCACAGAAACUGAGCAAAUAGAUGUGUAUUAUUUGAAGCUGCUAAGUUUUGGGGUAAUUUGUAAUGCAUAAUAAAUAAUUCGUGUUGUGAAUUUGUCUGACCAUGCUGGUAGGAGCUGACUGGUGUUUCUGUGGCAGCUGAGAGAUGGGUCUUUAAUGGGCUGUUGUAUUAGUUCAUUCUCACACUGCUAUAAAUAACUGCCCAAGACCAGGUAAUUUAUAAAGAAAAGAGGUUUAAUUGACUCACAGUUCUGCAUGGCUGAGGAGGCCUCAAGAAACUUAUAUAAUCAUGACAGGAGGGGAAGCAGGUGCAUCUAACAUGGUGACAGGCGAGAGGGAGCACGUGAAGGAGGAACUGUCAAACACUUAUAAAACCAUUAUACCUCAUGAGAACUCACUAUCAUGAAAACAGCAUGAGGGAGACCACCUCCAUGAUCCAAUCACCUCCCACAAGGUCCCUCCCUCAACAUCUGGGGAUUACAAUUUGAAAUGAGAUUUGGAUAGGGACAUAGAGCCAAACUGCAUCAGAUGUCUUUCUGUCCUUGUCCCUAUUCUGUCCAAAGAGAAGAUGAUGGAAGAGGAAUAGAGAUAAUUGUAAUUUAUAUUUAUCAAGUGCCUACUGUGUCCCAGCACAUUAAUAAGUACAUAAUUUAAAUUAUCUCAUUUAUUCUUCUCCAAAACUGUAGGAUAAGAACUUUUAUUCUCCUUUUACAGAAGAAGUUACAGUUUCAUACAGUUGCUAUGAGGAUUAAAUAACAAAAUAUGUAUAAAGCAC